rnacentral:rRNA from 1 species
GACGAACGCUGGCGGCGUGCUUAACACAUGCAAGUCGAACGGAAAGGCCCUGCUUUUGUGGUGUGCUCGAGUGGCGAACGGGUGAGUAACACGUGAGUAACCUGCCCUUGACUUUGGGAUAACUUCAGGAAACUGGGGCUAAUACCGGAUAGGAGCUCCUGCUGCAUGGUGGGGGUUGGAAAGUUUCGGCGGUUGGGGAUGGACUCGCGGCUUAUCAGCUUGUUGGUGGGGUAGUGUCUUACCAAGGCUUUGACGGGUAGCCGGCCUGAGAGGGUGACCGGCCACAUUGGGACUGAGAUACGGCCCAGACUCCUACGGGAGUCAGCAGUGGGGAAUAUUGCACAAUGGGCGGAAGCCUGAUGCAGCAACGCCGCGUGCGGGAUGACGGCCUUCGGGUUGUAAACCGCUUUCGCCUGUGACGAAGCGUGAGUGACGGUAAUGGGUAAAGAAGCACCGGCUAACUACGUG